CUGGCUUUGUUAGGGUCAUUCUAGUCAAGAGGGACUUCCCAUUCGUAUCCUUUUUAUCUAAUGCAUUCUGUGGCUUAUAACCCAAAUCUGUCCCGGUGUUCCAUCCAACUGAGCCCCAAUAAUCACAAUUGUUACCCCUCUUUGAGCAAUAUAUAUUGCUCAUAUCAUCGGUUAACAUUCUCCCAAAACAGAGAAAUUUCCACAUUAUGGCAUUCCCAAGCAAUCAUGUGGUCUACAAGAAACAGAAACUCAGCAGAAAAAAACCAAAACAAAAAACACUUAAUACUUUUGCAGACAGAUAUAUAGAAAAUGGAUGUUUAAGACAGAAUGGAACUUAUAGCAACUAUGUUAUUGCACAACCAGGACCUUGCGUCCUAUAUCUUUUAACCAUUUCCCUCUUCCAAAAGUCCAGUCAAAACCAGUCAUAUCCUCACGCAAUUUCUCAAAACAUGGGAAUCCAUCCCUAGCACACUCAACAUAUAUCCACAACACACAUAGUACAUCCAUCCCUGGGUCAGCUAACACUUCCUCUCUCUCUGGCUAACUCUACAAAAAUAAAAAUAAAAAUAGUUCAAUAGUUCAGCAUAGUUCAGAAAAAUAGAAUAAGUCUUUCACAGAGUAUAAAGAAAUCAGUUUAGACACCAGACAUUUUGUUCCAUAAAAAUGGCUAAGGGUAGCAAUAUGGCUGACAACAAGACAAUGUCAGCUUCCAUAUAGUUCUUAGUUCUUCUUUUGUUUGCUGGAUUUUCACCACAAAGCUCUGUGCAACACCCCAAUGGUUGAAAGGGUU